CAUCUACUCCCUCCAUCCGAAAAUACUUGUCAUCAAAACGGAUAAAAAGGGAUGUAUCUAGAACUAAUAUACGUCUAGAUACAUUCCCUUCCAUUCAUUUUGAUGACAAGUAUUUCCGGACGGAGGGAGUACUUC
rfam:Triticum urartu cultivar G1812 contig313685, whole genome shotgun sequence.